rnacentral:rRNA from 1 species
GAUGAACGCUGGCGGCGGGCCUAAUACAUGCAAGUCGAACGGACAGAUGAUAAGCUCUCUCCCUUCACGGUAGCGGGUGACGGGCGAGUGAGACGUGGAUAAGCAUCUUAUAUGUCUGGGAGAAUUUCGUGAAGCCGGUACCAAUACUACAUCAUAUGAUGAACGGCAUUGUUCAAUGGUUAUUGACGGUUUGGCUGACUCUAUUAGCUGCUUCCGGGCCGGAUUAUCUAGUUGGUAAGGUAACGGCUAACCAAGGCAACGAUGCGUAUCCGACCUGAGAGGGUGAUCGGCCACACUGGAACUGAGACACGGUCCAGACUCCUACGGGAGGCAGCAGUGGGGAAUCUUGGGCAAUGGGCGAAAGCCUGACGCAGCCAUACCGCGUGGGUGAAGAAGGUCUUCGGAUCGUAAAACCCUGUUAUUGGGAAAGAAAAGCAGUAGAAGAAAAUCCGCACGUCCUGACGGUACCUAAACAGAAAGCAACGGCUAACUACGUG